rnacentral:lncRNA from 1 species
UCUUUCUUUCUCCCUCACACUUGCAACCAAAGAGAAAUAUCUCUCUCUCUCUAACAAUUUCUCCACCAAAGAGAGGAAUUGGAGGUGCAUUUGGAGAAGAAAAAGGUUGCUUGGAGGUGAAGUCUUCAUCCUCUUCAUUACUUGGUUUGAGGAAAAGCUUGUGUUUGAGGUGCCUAAACGCGUGUGAAGCGUCGGUUCGUCGAUUCGUCGAGCAGGUGCGACCGAAGAGUAAAGCGGCGACUAGGGAACGUGCAAUUGAGAACCUAGCCUCGUGAUAGCGGUAAAAGGUGGGGGGUGUCAUCCCGAAACAUCCGGGUUUCCUUUUAUGCCUAAGUUAAUUUUAUUCAUCAUAUAUUGAUUGAGCAUUAUAGGAUUAGUAAAGUAUAUUUCCAUUCCUUGCAUGCUUACUUAGUAGUGUAGCGGUAUGGACCUAACACUUGGACUAGGGAGGCAUGAGGAUUGGGUCUUGAGACAAAGAAUCCUAUAGUGGCAAAAGUGAUGAAUUUGGACAUAGCCUAGUAGAGUGGCAUUGAACUAGUGUAGGAGAGACACUAUGACAUGAACAAAUAACAUGUAGAAUAAUUGAGACAUUUACUACAAUGACUAAACGAGUGGCAUUGAGUCUAGUGUAGUAAACUCGACAUGUACUUAGGGAUAGUAGAGAUCCCGGCAUCUAGGAUGCAUUGUACAUUGUGCAGCAGAGGCACGUUGACCCUUGUAGAUAGGGUAUCCUCUUGUGAGGAUUGGAUCAUACUCACUAGUCUGUUUUUGCUUGUCGGUGGUCGCUCCACCGAGGCACGAGUCUCCGGAGUACUUCACUAGGGGCAGACGUAGUUGUCCCGCAGACGGUCUCGGUGUGCGAGUGCAGUUUCUCCUCACCUAUGAGAUUGAGAGUGAGUCGGGGUUGACCCCGGGGUGGCAACCUUCGGGUUGGCCAUGAGAUUGGAUACUACCGAGGCAUAGUUGCACGACGCACUGUGUAGCUCGUUCAUUUGGAUUAUUGAGGCAUAGUAGCAUGUGCAGAUACAUCACUAUGUAGUAGCUCAUUUCCAAGCAGAUUGGGUAAAGAAUAUGAAUGGCAUAGCAGAUUUGCAUUCAUACCUUGAGUUGACAUUGAGACAUAGUAGCAUGUUGUAGAUACAUCACUAUGUAGUAGCUCAUUUCCAUUAUUGUUGAAGCAUAGUAUCAUGAUUAGUAGAAUAUCAUUGCUAUGUUCAUGCAUUACCUCGAGUAGACAUAGUGUAUGUUGUAGAUUGCAUUACUAUGUACUUUUCUAUACUCAUGACAUGAUUCUCGCAUGAUAGUAGUUGUUGCAUGCAUUAUCAUCGUUGAUGGCAUGAUAGAGUAGUCGCAGUUUACUUUUAUCUAUCUAUCUAUCUCUCUAUCUGUGCCAGCUUAGACCUAGUGGGAAAACCGGCGGCGUCGGCGGCCGAACCCACUGGGAACUAUAUUUAUAUAGUUCUCACCCCGUGUGGUUUUGGGGUACAGGUACACAUAGAGGCGAGCCGAGCGAGGACCGCGGCAAGGGCAUAGCGCCCUAAGUGAGCCUAGUUAGUAGCUUUUCCUUAUGCAUUAGAGUACCCUCGUGUACUAGUUGAUAUUUUGGAUAGAUAUCAGAGAGCUACUUGUAUUUUGAAGAAAACAUGUACUUACAUUUUGGAAGAUGAAAAUAUAAUAUAUUCAAAUAAUGUAAAUGUUGAAUGAUUGUGAUAG